UAACCCGACCUAAGGGAGGCAGCCGGACCCAGGGUAGGGUCAGCGACUGGGGUG
rnacentral:rRNA from 1 species